GGGGGGAGCAAGCGUUGUUCGGAUUUACUGGGCGUAAAGGGCGCGUAGGCGGCCACCGCAAGUCAGUUGUGAAAUCUCUGGGCUUAACCCAGAAAGGUCAACUGACACUGCGGGGCUAGAGUGCAGAAGGGGCAACUGGAAUUCUCGGUGUAGCGGUGAAAUGCGUAGAUAUCGAGAGGAACACCUGCGGCGAAGGCGGGUUGCUGGGCUGACACUGACGCUGAUGCGCGAAAGCUAGGGGAGCGAACGGGAUUAGAUACCCCGGUAGUCCUAGCCUUAAACGAUGAAUGCUUGGUGUCUGGGGUUUUAUAGUCCCCGGGUGCCGUCGCUAACGCUUUAAGCAUUCCGCCUGGGGAGUACGGUCGCAAGACUG
rnacentral:rRNA from 1 species